CGGAGCUGAAGUCAGUCGAAGAUACCAGCUGGCUGCAACUGUUUAUUAAAAACACAGCACUGUGCAAACACGAAAGUGGACGUAUACGGUGUGACGCCUGCCCGGUGCCGGAAGGUUAAUUGAUGGGGUCAGCGCAAGCGAAGCUCCUGAUCGAAGCCCCGGUAAACGGCGGCCGUAACUAUAACGGUCCUAAGGUAGCGAAAUUCCUUGUCGGGUAAGUUCCGACCUGCACGAAUGGCGUAAUGAUGGCCAGGCUGUCUCCACCCGAGACUCAGUGAAAUUGAACUCGCUGUGAAGAUGCAGUGUACCCGCGGCAAGACGGAAAGACCCCGUGAACCUUUACUAUAGCUUGACACUGAACAUUGAGCCUUGAUGUGUAGGAUAGGUGGGAGGCUUUGAAGCGUGGACGCCAGUCUGCGUGGAGCCGACCUUGAAAUACCACCCUUUAAUGUUUGAUGUUCUAACGUGGACCCGUGAUCCGGGUUGCGGACAGUGUCUGGUGGGUAGUUUGACUGGGGCGGUCUCCUCCUAAAGAGUAACGGAGGAGCACGAAGGUUGGCUAAUCCUGGUCGGACAUCAGGAGGUUAGUGCAAUGGCAUAAGCCAGCUUGACUGCGAGCGUGACGGCGCGAGCAGGUGCGAAAGCAGGUCAUAGUGAUCCGGUGGUUCUGAAUGGAAGGGCCAUCGCUCAACGGAUAAAAGGUACUCCGGGGAUAACAGGCUGAUACCGCCCAAGAGUUCAUAUCGACGGCGGUGUUUGGCACCUCGAUGUCGGCUCAUCACAUCCUGGGGCUGAAGUAGGUCCCAAGGGUAUGGCUGUUCGCCAUUUAAAGUGGUACGCGAGCUGGGUUUAGAACGUCGUGAGACAGUUCGGUCCCUAUCUGCCGUGGGCGCUGGAGAACUGAGGGGGGCUGCUCCUAGUACGAGAGGACCGGAGUGGACGCAUCACUGGUGUUCGGGUUGUCAUGCCAAUGGCACUGCCCGGUAGCUAAAUGCGGAAGAGAUAAGUGCUGAAAGCAUCUAAGCACGAAACUUGCCCCGAGAUGAGUUCUCCCUGAGACUUUAGGUCUCCUGAAGGAACGUUGAAGACGACGACGUUGAUAGGCCGGGUGUGUAAGCGCAGCGAUGCGUUGAGCUAACCGGUACUAAUGAACCGUGAGGCUUAACCUUACAA
rnacentral:rRNA from 1 species